GAUGAACGCUAGCGGAAGGCUUAAUACUGCAAGUCGAGCGGUAGGUGGCUUCGGCCAUUGAGAGCGGCGCACGGGUGAGUAACGCGUACAUGACCUGCCUGUCAGAAGGGGAUAGCCCUGGGAAACUGGGAUUAAUACCCUAUGGUAUUGAUAUUAUGACUGAUAUCAAUUAAAGUUGAGGCGCUGACAGAUGGAUGUGCGUCUGAUUAGCUAGUUGGUAGGGUAACGGCCUACCAAGGCGACGAUCAGUAGGGGGCGUGAGAGCGUGGUCCCCCACACGGGUACUGAGACACGGACCCGACUCCUACGGGAGGCAGCAGUAAGGAAUAUUGGUCAAUGCCCGCAAGGGUGAACCAGCCAUUCCGCGUGGAGGAUGAAGGCCCUAUGGGUUGUAAACUUCUUUUAGAUGGGAAGAAAAUGCUAGAUGUAUCUGGUACUGACGGUACCAUCAGAAUAAGCACCGGCUAACUCCGUGCCAGCAGCCGCCGUAAUAC
rnacentral:rRNA from 1 species